rnacentral:rRNA from 1 species
GGCGGACGGGUGAGUAACGCGUGGGUAACCUGCCUCAUACAGGGGGAUAACAGUUAGAAAUGACUGCUAAUACCGCAUAAGCGCACGGGACUGCAUGGUCCAGUGUGAAAAACCGAGGUGGUAUGAGAUGGACCCGCGUCUGAUUAGCUGGUUGGCGGGGUAACGGCCCACCAAGGCGACGAUCAGUAGCCGACCUGAGAGGGUGGCCGGCCACAUUGGGACUGAGACACGGCCCAAACUCCUACGGGAGGCAGCAGUGGGGAAUAUUGCACAAUGGGGGAAACCCUGAUGCAGCGACGCCGCGUGAGCGAGGAAGUAUUUCGGUAUGUAAAGCUCUGUCAGCAGGGAAGAAGAAUGACGGUACCUGAAGAAGAAGCACCGGCUAAAUACGUGCCAGCAGCCGCGGUAAUACGUAUGGUGCAAGCGUUAUCCGGAUUUACUGGGUGUAAAGGGAGCGCAGGCGGUUCUGCAAGUCUGAUGUGAAAGCCCGGGGCUCAACCGCGGGACUGCAUUGGAAACUGCGGGACUGGAGUGUCGGAGGGGUAAGCGGAAUUCCUGGUGCAGCGGUGAAAUGCGUAGAUAUUAGGAGGAACACCGGUGGCGAAGGCGGCUUACUGGACUGUAACUGACGUUGAGGCUCGAAAGCGUGGGGAGCAAACAGGAUUAGAUACCCUGGUAGUCCACGCCGUAAACGAUGAUUACUAGGUGUCGGGGGACCAAGGUCCUCCGGUGCCGGCGCAAACGCAUUAAGUAAUCCACCUGGGGAGUACGUUCGCAAGAAUGAAACUCAAAGGAAUUGACGGGGACC